UGCCAUCAUAUAUACCAAAGUCAAAAAAAGUUACCCUUCUUUGUACGACAAAAAAAAAAAACCUAGAUCUAUACACUCCACGAAACUCUUCGCCGGCCUCCAUUCGUCACCAUCACCAUGUGGAGAAGAAUCGUCUCCUCUCAUCUCAAAACCCUAGCCGCCGAUGUCGUCGCUGAUUCUCCUCGUGGAUUGACAGUUCUGUGUGGUGGGCUCGCGUCUGAGAUUGAGAUUUCAGGCUUGGGGUUCUCGGAUUUGAACAGUGAGUGGAGUUUGGGAUUUGGAUUAUGGUGAAUUUGGAUCGCGUUUGGCUUCUGACGAAGAUUAAGGUGAGGGAAUUUGAAGGAAUCAAGAAGUAUGCGUCUGAGAUUCUUGCAAUUCUGUUGCAAAACAGCACGGCGAAUCAGAAACGGCUAGGUCAGAUGAAUGGUGUAGACGCUGUGCUUGAAGGUGUGGCGAUGAAUAAGUCGAAGGAUCCUAAAACUCCUGAUAAGGAAGAGAUGUUAGAUAAUUUAUUUGAUUGUUUGUGUUGCCUCUUGAUGCCAUUGGAGAACAAGGAGAGGUUUGUGAAUGCAGAAGGUGUUGAGCUGAUGAUUAUAAUCAUGAAGCAGAAGAAAUAUGCUUACGGGUCUGCAAUUCGAGCUCUAGACUUUGCCAUGACCAAUUAUCCACCAGCAUGUCAGAGUUUUGUGGAUGUUAUGGGACUGAAGACAGCAUUUGCUGCUUUCAUGGGUAAGAUUCCGCUAAGCAAGAGGAUCAAAAGGGAGCGGUAUGAGGAGGAGCUAGAGGAGCGGGUUAUUUCCCUGAUUGCGUCAUUAUUUGCUGGGAUUUUAAGGGGUUCUAGGAGAGAUCGAUUGUUGAGUAAAUUUGUGGAGAAUGAAUUUGAGAAGAUUGACCGGCUCAUGGAAUUAUACAUGAGAUAUUCUGAUAGGGUUAGAUUAGAGGCUGAGAGAUUAGACCAGCUUGAGCUUGAUGACCUUGAGUUGGAUGAAGAUGAGAAAUAUAAUCGGGAGCUAGAAUCAGGCCUCUAACAGUCUUCAGCUUGUUGCUGUUAUCCUGGGCCAUAUUUGGAAUGGAAUAAAUUGUUUCGGAGAAGGAGCUUGCAUGUGGUUGCAGGAGCUUAAGUGCCUAGACGGGAGUGCUAAUAGGAACAAUUGUUCAGAUUGAAGUUUUAUGUGUUUUGCUGUUGAUGAGGAGGCGAAAUAGAUAGAGGAGAAGAAAUUGAAGAGAUCGAAGUUUGUCUAUGUCCUUAUGAUGUUAGUUGGUUCUAUUUUGUUUAACACUUAUGAUGUUAGUAUAAGACUUGGUGUGAUGUUAUGUAAGACUUGUUUGGCUAAUUGGUUAAUGUAAUAUUACUUGUUGAUGAUUAAUAAAAUAUAAAAGUUUUAUA